CUCCAGUAGCAGCACUGGACUGAUGAGGCCCAGAAGGCCGAAACAGUCC
rnacentral:hammerhead_ribozyme from 9 species